GUCAACACAGAGAUGGAAUUGAAAAGCACGGAAACCAGUACUGUGAUUAAAGCAAGUGCAGAAGAGUCAAGGUCUGAGGUCUCUGCCCUGGGACAUUCCAAAAUAUGGAGGUCGUGAAGAGGGGGCGGAAGCCACGACCACAGACGAUCAUCCCAGAGGCUCUUUAUACUUCAAUUCCACUGCAGAAGGCAUGGGAGAACGUUCUAAUUUCACAAUGGGAUGCUACUGUAAAAGGAGCAGUUCUUUUGACAAUUUUGGCAUCGGGAGUGGGAUCUGAACGUACUCUCCUUUGCCUCUGGGGUCCUGCUGGACGUGGACGCUGGUACCCGCCGAGCCCUUUAGGUUCUCCAUCUCCCCCAGCCUCUUUGAAGGCCAAAGUACAUUCUCUCAGAUCCGAGCUCCACUUCCUUGCAUGGCUGUUCUUCAAGCUUUAUUUUCAAUUUAUUACUCAAGGUCGGAGUUUAGGUAAUUACCUUUGUUAACUGUCCUGGUCACGGGUGCCAGCAGUUCAAAAAAGGCCUAUGAAUUUCUUCCAGGGACUCCGGCCCACUACGUGUUCAAACACCAUGGUGCUUGUUCAUGUUUGUUUUUAGACCAACAAUAAAA